rnacentral:rRNA from 1 species
UACGUAGGGGGCAAGCGUUGUCCGGAUUUAUUGGGCGUAAAGAGCGUGUAGGCGGUUAUGCAGGUCCGCUGUGAAAACUGGAGGCUUAACCUCCAGACGUCGGUGGAAACCGUAUGACUAGAGUCCGGAAGAGGAGAGUGGAAUUCCUGGUGUAGCGGUGAAAUGCGCAGAUAUCAGGAAGAACACCCGUGGCGAAGGCGGCACUCUGGGCCAGUACUGACACUGAGGAGCGAAAGCGUGGGGAGCGAACAGG